GGAACACAAAAGACUCAAACAACAGAGUUCAAGGGUCUACUUGCUAACUCUGAGACCUACAGCAAAACCCAAAUGAACCACCAACUGUAAUGGUCUAUUUUCUUGGGCUCAGAGCAACUAUGUGAACUCAGAAGGAAAUUAUAGGCUUUAAAUGAUCCUUAAUACCCUGCAUUUCAGUGUUACCUACAUACGCCACCUCAGAGGAUAGCAUUUCUGUAGUAGCCGUGGUAUGACACACUGCCAAGAUUAAUAGGCCUAUCCAGGGGAAGCUCCCAGGACAAUGACAAGAUACAAGUAUUUAAGCAAGAUUUCUUUAAAAUAUCCUUAAACUGCUUACCCAUAUGGUACUGGAAAAAGAUGGAACUUGGCAACUGGCAAUCUUGAGUUCUAGCCCCUGUCCUGCUACAGAUGGGAUAGUGAUCUUGAGCCUGUUAACAACACUGACAGGAGCAACAGCAGUAAUAACUGUCAAAUAACAGUACCAUACCUUAUACAACUGCUGUGUGGAUUUAAUUUUACAUUGCAAUACAAUGUCAAUUAUUACUGAUUUUUUUUCUCAAGAAAAAGAUAAUUCUUAUUUAUUUAUUUUUUUUUGAGACAGGGUCUCAUUCUAUCACCCAGGCUGGAGUGGUGCCAUCACAGUUCACUGCAGCCUGGACCUCCCAAACUCAAGUGAUCCUCCCACCACAGCCUCCCAAGUAGCCUGGACUACAGGUGAGUGCUCUGCUAAGCUCCACAACAAGUUCCAAGCUAGUAGUGGCCAGCUACUCAGCCUUCUCAGGAAACUCACCUUCUCUCCUUGGAGUGAUGGGACUGAGUCCCGCAAACUGUGAAAGCUGUCUUUGAUGUGGUCCCUACGUUUCCGUUCCAGUGCAUUAUGAUGAGCCCGUUUGUCAGCCUAGAAAAAUGGGAGAAAGAACAUAUUAGGAAUGUCACUCCUUUUGCUUGGUACAAGGUGGGUGGGGUACAGCCUGGAAGUACACGCUGUCAGCACUGUCCCUGGCGAGUGGCCUGGGAAGGAUUUCUCGAGGUGGGCAGUUAGGAGUCUCCAGAAUUAGGAUCUGCUAAAGGGGGAGAAAGGGGUGAGCAACGCUUGCGACAGGAACAUCCAAAGUAGCUCGAUGCAUCCAGCUCAUGCAUAAGUAAAAUAAAAGUUAUUCGGGGGGACAAAGUGUGACUCUGCUGUAACAUCAGUGGUCCCCCCCCAACUUGCUUAUGUGACAGAAGAGCCACCAGUCUGUGGUUAGGAAGUGACUAGAGAAAGCUCCAGUGGCCCCUUCUUAAGAUGUGAUCACCUCCACUGUAAGAGAUUCCCCAGAUGGGCGUCCAGGGGAAGAAAGAGUUAAGUCACUGGUGCUUCUUUAAUGUGAAACCAUCGCCGUGAGUCCCAAGCCCACUAAAAGGCACUAGUUUAAGACCUUCUCACCAAAUCAUACAAUAGAAACUAAAACCUCUAUAAAACCUAGAUGCAUGAAUCUGAGAUCAUUAUGACAGAGCUGAUAAGAUGACAAAUGAAUUCUGAGUUCUUGUUUUUUAAAAGUAGAUCCAAGGUGCUAUCCUGCCAAGGGCUUUCUUGCACACAGGCAGUGCCAGACAGGCAGUUCUUAGAGGACACAACUUCUGACACCACAUACUCAGAAUAAAUUCCCUCAAGUACCUGUGGCAGGUCAGGCUAAUUUGGCAGUAUCUAAAUAUCCAAGUCAAAGUCUUAGCCUGCUUGGAAUCACAAAGAACAGUCAACUGGAGAUGGACCAAAACUGCCAACACCAAGUCAGGAAUGGCAAAAUGCUCUGGCUUCAGGCAGAAGAGAGCGCUGGAGAGCAUGGUAAGAGCACUUCAGCAGGUCCCCAUGAGAGGGGUCUCCCCUCCAAAUGGAACACAAACAACCCAAAGCAAGAAGAACUUCAUCGCACCUACACUCUAGGAAUUAUGGAAAUUAUGCUCUGAAUAUUCACCUUGAAUGCACAAGGUUGCACUGAGCUAACCUAGAGAGCCAGUCUGUACAUGGGAAGUUCAGGUAGCUUAAAUCUAUACACACAGAGGGCCAGAAAUUCAAAAAAUGGAACAAGAGUAAAUAACUUGGCUUAGCACAAGAAUAAUGCUGCCUCACAUGAAUCCUUGUACUAGAGAAGAUGUACAGACAAAAAUCUAUCAAGAGUUGUGAGAAUGAAAGGACUUGAAAUUCUCCUGUUAUUUAAUCCUAAAAGUCCUAGUCAUUACAGAGGAAGAGGAGGCUGGGAGCACCUGUGGUCAUCUGAGUUACUUCCUGGUCUCUUAAACAUAAUACCUCACCUACAGCUCUGUUGAAAUGGACAUGUGGUUCCCAUGACAACCAUGGUUCUCCAUAGCAUAUCUCUCUUUUGGGGGCAGAUGCCUGGAGCACUGCUAAAGUUGUCCUAAUCUUGUUAAGUCUGGAUUCACUGUAAAAUGAAUGUUUACUGAACUAUAGUGACAUAUGAAAUAUUAUGGAGAAGCUGAGAGGAUAGUCAAGUUUGGAACACCACAUAACCUGAGGCUAGAGGUAGGUACUCUGUAUCAUACAACUUUAGAGCAAAAUUUAUAGAUGCCUUCUAACAGUAGCAUGAAAUAGCGCGACAGAAUUAAACCUAUUUAAGUAUCUAGUCCUUUUGAACUUACUGUUGUUCCCUCUGAUCAUCUACAUAAAGAUAAGUUAGGCUGGGACUAUACCUAAGGAGCUUAAAGGCCAAGAGACAACAUUUGGCAUGUGUCUGCCGCUCCUGUUUGCUAUAUACUACCUAAGGUGGUUUAUUUACAUGCAAAUUAAUCGCCCAUCUUUGGUCUCCAGAGCAGCCCAAGAUACUCCUGUCUACUAAAUCACCCUGAUUCUUGGCCCUCCUCCCAGCUGAGAGCUAUGCACCAGAAUUACCCACAAUCCCUCUUGUUGAUACAAAUAAAAUUCUAAUUGUCUGUUU